UAUAUAUAUACAUAUAUAUAUAUAGAUACAUAUAUACAUACAUACAUAUAUACAUACAUACAUAUAUAUAUACAUAUAUACAUAUAUAUAUACAUACAUAUAUAUGUUCUGUUUUGACAUGAAAUUUACCUGUGCUUCAAUCUCUUCUAUUAUUAUUCAUUCACCUUGAUCGGUUUCCAAUUUGCUGAGCAUCACUCGAUGUUUUUUAGUUGUAGAUCAGUGAAUCAACACAACAGACCAAAUAUGGGCAAUGUGAGUUAGGGGCAUCUGAUCUGAUCAACAAUGUUACCCAUGGUUACUAUAGUCUGCAACAAUAGAAAACUACUAAGCUGUGGAUGGAAAGCCAUGAAUCCGUAGGAAAAAUUGGAGCAAAAAUGUGAACCUACUUGAUCAUAAGUUUAUGGAAGCUGCAGAGGCUUGCUGCAUCUAAGGAAACCAUGCUUAUUUCUGAUAGUAGGCAACUGUGGUUGUGAUACAUGGGAGUAGAGCACUCUGUAUCAUCUUCUUUGACAGAGAUUGAACUACGAGACUACAAUUUCUAAGGCUUCAUGCUCAACUAAUCUGGCUGGUAGAACUGAGCUUGCCAAUUUAGGGCGUGUUUAUCUGCGAUGUGAAGGCUGAUUGGGAUGCACAGUUUGUGAAGUUGGCAGUUUCCUCGGUGAUUCCUAACUUUCUUGUCCCAUUUGAUAGGUAGCCAUUGACUGGAUCCUGGUAGUGGGAGACAAUGUGGUCAAUAUAUAUUCUUAAUAUCUUUCAUUCAACUUUCACCGUACUAGGUGUUCUUAUCUUAAUGAAAAAGAACAGGAAAAGUAUAAUAUAAUGAUUAGUAGUUAAAAAAAUGUGGCACAUACCAUGGUAAUAAAUGUUAGAUAAUUGAUGAGGAUA